CCCACCUGACCCCAUGCCGAACUCAGAAGUGAAACGCCGUAGCGCCGAUGGUAGUGUGGGGUCUCCCCAUGCGAGAGUAGGGAACUGCCAGAC
rnacentral:rRNA from 11 species